CGCAAGCCUGACGGAGCAAGACCGCGUGGGGGAUGACGGCCUAAUGGUUGUAAACCCCUUUUCUCUGGGAAGAAGACUGACGGUACCAGAGGAAUCAGCCUCGGCUAACUCCGUGCCAGCAGCCGCGGUAAUACGGAGGAGGCAAGCGUUAUCCGGAAUUAUUGGGCGUAAAGCGUCCGUAGGUGGUUAUUCAAGUCUGCUGUCAAAGCGUGGGGCUUAACUCCAUAGAGGCAGUGGAAACUGGAUGACUUGAGUGCGGUAGGGGUCGAGGGAAUUCCCAGUGUAGCGGUGAAAUGCGUAGAUAUUGGGAAGAACACCAGUGGCGAAAGCGCUCUACUGGGCCGCAACUGACGCUGAGGGACGAAAGCUAGGGGAGCG
rnacentral:rRNA from 1 species